UGCUCAAACCACUGUUCAACGAUCGCAAGGCAUCUUUCAUGUCAUCAGUGCUUCUGAUGGGAGGAACUCUGUAUGAACCUGCAGCUGCUACCAAGACCGUCACCUGUAAAUAACUACCAGAAAUCAGGACGAAGGAAAGUACAAAACAACAGAGGACGAUCAAAAGUUCCAGAUGGAUAUGUUUGACAAUAAUGAAGAGGACGAUGCACAUAAUUAUCUGAAAGAUGUACUAUCACCAGUGAUGUCUAAAUGACAGAGUAGACGACUUUACCACAAUGUAAUCUUUGUCAAAUUUGUUAGCUUUAGGAGUAACUGUUCUUUUCCACUUGAUAUUGUUGACAUUAACCAGAGUCUCUCUCUCAGUUUUCUCUCUUUCUUCACCAGAGAGUUCUCUAAA